AUUCCAUCUUCAGAGACAGUUUAGGCCUUCAGUGUUACCCUGGAACCAUGUUGAUCAGGAGGUCCAGUUUUCCCAGUACCAUUUUUUGAAGAUGCUAUCUUUCCUCCAGUGUGUAUUUUUGUCAUAUUUGUGAAAUAUAUGACUGUAUUUGAAGCAGAGAGCAGAACAAGGCAAUGGAACUAUGAAAAGAUGUUGAUCAAAAAGAGCAAUACUUCAGUUAGAAAGGAGGAACGGUUGGAAAUAUUUGAGAGGAUGGAUGUCUCAGUGAGCUCAUUUGAUCCACAUUGUAUUUAUCUAUCAUAGCAUCAUUUGGUAUCCUGUAAGUAUAUGCAAUUACAUUACACCAACAGCCAAUAAAAAUAAAUGAAAAUGAGCAA